GUCUAUGGCCAUGCCACCCUGAACAAGCCUGAUGUCUGAUCUCAGGAGCUAAGCAGGAUCAGGCCUGGUUAGUACUUGGAUGGGAGACUACCUAGGAAGACCAGGUGCUGUAGGCA
rnacentral:rRNA from 1 species